rnacentral:rRNA from 1 species
AUUGAACGCUGGCGGCAGGCCUAACACAUGCAAGUCGAACGAGUGGCGGACGGGUGAGUAAUGUCUGGGAAACUGCCCGAUGGAGGGGGAUAACUACUGGAAACGGUAACUAAUACCGCAUACCAUCGGAUGUGCCCAGAUGGGAUUAGCUAGUAGGUGGGGUAACGGCUCAACUAGGCGACGAUCCCUAGCUGGUCGGAGAGGAUGACCAGCCACACUGGAACUGAGAAACGGUCCAGCCUCCGACGGGAGGCAGAAGUGGGGAAUAUUGCACAAUGGGCGAAAGCCUGAUGCAGCAAUGCGGGGUGGAUGAAGAAGGCCUUCGGGUUGUAAAGUACUUUCAGCGAGGAGGCGUUACUCGCAGAAGAAGCACCGGCUAACUCCGUGCCAGCAGCCGCGGUAAUUC